rnacentral:tRNA from 1 species
GCGCCGGAGGUUCAGUGGUAGAAUACUCGCCUGCCACGCGGGUGGCCCAGGUUCGAUUCCCGGCCGACGCA